GGAUGUGAGGGCGAUCUGGCUGCGACAUCUGUCACCCCAUUGAUCGCCAGGGUUGAUUCGGCUGAUCUGGCUGGCUAGGCGGGUGUCCCUUUCCUCCCUCACCGCUCCAUGUGCGUCCCUCCAGAAGCUGGGUGCUCGGUGGAAGAGGACGACCAUCCCCAAUAGAGGAGGACCGUUCUUCGGUCAAGGGUAUACGAGUAGCUGCGCUCCCCUGCUAGAACCUCCAAACAAGCUCUCAAGAAUGUCUGUUUUAUGUAUGAGAAAAUUAAAUUCCCUUCUAUUCUAAGCCAUUCAGAAUUUGAAACAUGUUUUCUCAGCU
rnacentral:snRNA from 1 species